CGUCCUGCGGCCGCGCCUCCAGUUAGCUGCUCCACGCAGGCCCUGACGUGGUUGGACCUCAGCAGGACGUACAGACGCCGUCUGUACUGGCGGUCCAGACGUUAAAGUGAAAGUAAAGAUUUGGGGGAGGAAGGAGGAAAAACGAACAAAGUGCGCAUUAUGGGAAAUGCUGCUGAGAAAACCUGAAAAUACCAAUAGCACAGAAGCCUCAGUUGAAUCUCUAAAGUGGUUCAACACUCUGGGAAGCAGAUGUGUAUGAUGGAUGAUAUUUAAGUGCUGUCAGAACUUUUAUAAAAUUUGUAUAAUUUCUAAACCACUUUUUUUGAAGAAUGAACUAAAAAAGUCAAGAAGGUAGUUUGUAUUUAUCCAGAUUAAACAGGAUACAGUUUCCAUUUACCACAAAUUGCACCACAGGCAUUUUGUGUGUGUGUGUGUUUGUGUCUGUGUCUGUGUGUAUAAUGUAAAAUCAUGUAGCUCACUUUUUAAAACAGUUUGGCAGUUUCUCAAAAAGUUAAACGUAGAGUUACCAUGUGGCCAGAAAUUCCACUCCUAGGUAUCCACCAAAAAGAGUUAAAAACAUAUGUCUACUCAAAAGUGUGUACAUGAAUCUUCAUGGCAGCAUUGUUCAUAAUGGCCAAAAAUGCAGAAAUUCCAAAUGUUUAUCAACCGAUUAAACAGAAUGUGAUAUUUCCCUACAGUGUAUUUUCAUCAAUGAAAGUGAAUGGAUUACUGUGACAUGGCUCAAAGUAAAGGAACCUCAAAAAUGUCUGCUAAGUAAAAAAAAUAAACACAAAAGACUAUGUAUUGUAUGAUUCCAUGUAUAUGAAAUGUCCAGGAUAAGCAAAUCUAUAAAGACAGAAAGUAGAUCAAUGGUUGCCAGGGGCUGAGAAGAGGGAGAGCAGAUGAUGGGGAUGGAAAUGAUGAGUGAUAAUGGCUAAGGGGUUUUCUGUGGGAGUGAUAAAAAGGUUCUGAAAUUAGAUAGCAGUGAUGGUUGCACAAUUCUGGGAAUAUACUGAAAAAAAAACUGUGAAAUCAAAGAAGAACUAAGUAAAUGGAGAGAUAUUUCAUGUUCAUGGAUAGGAAGAGUCAAUUGUCAAGUUGCCAUUUCUUCCCAACUUGGUCUACAAAUUCAAUACAAUCUCAAUCAACAUAUCAGCAAAUUAUUUUGUGGAUAUUGACAAAUUGAUUCUAAAGUGUAUAUGC